GGAAAUCUCCGCUGGCAGCAUGAUUCCUCCGUGACACGGGUUGCUGGAGCUCCAGGAGGAGCGGUGCAGAUGGUCUGGCCAAGCCCCGCUGCCUUGGGCGCUGCCGGCUCCUUGGAGCGGGUCAGCCGGAGUCACCGGCAGCGCCUGGGGAAACGUCCAAUGGGUGCAGAACAGCAUAAAGGAAGCCUUUUGCAAUGCACAACAAUGAAUUCUGUUGGAUGACAAAACCCAUGACCUGCAGUAUGUAUAACUGAGCACCAUCUGCUGGCAGGGUGUCUGUUCACUAAGUGCCUGCACACAUAAAAGUCAAGAGCUUUCUCGUGAUGUGACAUAGCCCAGAUUUGUUGAUUGUGGAUGCACUGCAAAGCCCUCUGCCUGAGCAAGCACUGAUGAGAAGCCCAGGGUGCCGUUUUUAUCUGGUGGAUAGUGCAAAGGAGGUACUCCUGGGGGAAUUCUGUACCAAAAAGUUAAAAUUCUGCAACAAAAAUUCUGCGCAUUAUGUUUUAAAAUUCUGCAUAUUUUGUCAAAAUAACACAAUAUAAUCACACCA